rnacentral:rRNA from 1 species
GUAAUCGGUCACAGCGCGGUAUACGUAGGGGCCAGGUUCGGAUUUUGGGUUAAGCGCGGCAGGCGAUCUUAGUUGAAGUGCAAGGCACAGGUCAACCUGAGGGUCAUUGAAACUGGGAACUUGAGUGCAGAAGAAGAGAAGCGGAAUUUCACAUGUAGACGGUGAAAUGCGUAGAGAUAUGGAGGGACACCAGUGGCGAAAGGGGGCUUUUUGGUCUGUAACUGACGCUGAGGCGCGAAAGCGUGGGGAGCACAACACGAUUAGAUAUCCUGGUAGUUCACGCCGUAAACGAUGAGUGAUAAGUGUUAGAGGGUUUUCGCCCUUUAGUGCGGCAACUAACGCAUUAAGCACUCCCCCUGGGGAGUACGGUCCCAAGACUGAAACUCAAAGGAAUUGACGGGGGGCCGCCCAAGCGGGGGGGCAUGUGGUUUAAUUUGAAGCAACGCGAAGAACCUUACCAGGUCUUGACAUCCUUUGACAACUCUAGAGAUAGAGCGUUCCCCUUCGGGGGACAGAGUGACAGGUGGUGCAUGGUUGUCGUCAGCUCGUGUCGUGAGAUGUUGGGUUAAGUCCCGCAACGAGCGCAACCCUUGAUCUUAGUUGCCAGCAUUUAGUUGGGCACUCUAAGGUGACUGCCGGUGACAAACCGGAGGAAGGUGGGGAUGACGUCAAAUCAUCAUGCCCCUUAUGACCUGGGCUACACACGUGCUACAAUGGAUGGUACAAAGGGCUGCAAGACCGCGAGGUCAAGCCAAUCCCAUAAAACCAUUCUCAGUUCGGAUUGUAGGCUGCAACUCGCCUACAUGAAGCUGGAAUCGCUAGUAAUCGCGGAUCAGCAUGCCGCGGUGAAUACGUUCCCGGGCCUUGUACACACCGCCCGUCACACCACGAGAGUUUGUACCACCCGAAGUCGGUGGAGUAACCGUAAGGAGCUAGCCGCCUAAGGUGGACA